AUUGAACGCUGGCGGCAUGCUUUACACAUGCAAGUCGAACGGCAGCGGGGGCUUCGGCCUGCCGGCGAGUGGCGAACGGGUGAGUAAUGCAUCGGAACGUGCCCAGUCAUGGGGGAUAACUACGCGAAAGCGUAGCUAAUACCGCAUACGCCCUGAGGGGGAAAGGCGGGGGAGUCGCAAGACCUCGCGUGAUUGGAGCGGCCGAUGUCGGAUUAGCUAGUUGGUGGGGUAAAGGCCUACCAAGGCGACGAUCCGUAGCGGGUCGUGAGAGGAUGAUCCGCCACACUGGGACUGAGACACGGCCCAGACUCCUACGGGAGGGCAGCAGUGGGGAAGUUUUGGUACAAUAGGGGGCGGAACCCUACGAUCCACGCCACUGCCGCCGUGAGUGAAGAAGGACCGUCGU
rnacentral:rRNA from 1 species